AGAAAUCUGAUUUGGUAAUUGUGGUCUAAAUUAAAGGCAAAAAAAGGAAAAAGAAAAGACCUCAUGUAGUGGUCUAACUAAUCUUUAGCUUAUGUAAACAAAAAGCAAUAAUGCAAACAAAAUGGGUAUCAAAAUCAUUCCAAUCCAAAACACAAGUUAAAAGGAUAUGUUGCAUCAUAUCAUUGUCCUGUUUUCUCUUCUAUAGAACACACCUUUUUUUGGUUGAAACAACAAACCUUUCCUUGCUCACCUCCCAAACCACAUGGGAAUUUUCAUUGAUUGGUAUACCUAUAAAUGGAGAGUUCCAUUACGUUGCCCAACCAUGG
rnacentral:lncRNA from 1 species